rnacentral:lncRNA from 1 species
GGGCUACUACGAUGGCGAUGAGUUUCGAGUGGCCGUGGCAGUACCGCUUCCCGCCCUUCUUUACGUUACAGCCGAACGUGGACACCCGGCAGAAGCAGCUGGCCGCCUGGUGCUCUCUGGUUCUGUCCUUCUGCCGCCUGCACAAACAGUCCAGCAUGACGGUGAUGGAAGCCCAGGAGAGCCCGCUCUUCAACAACGUCAAGCUACAGCGGAAACUUCCUGUGGAGUCGAUUCAGAUUGUAUUAGAAGAACUGAGGAAGAAAGGGAACCUCGAGUGGUUGGAUAAGAAUAAGUCUAGCUUCCUGAUCAUGUGGCGGAGGCCAGAAGAAUGGGGGAAACUCAUUUAUCAAUGGGUGAGGCCGCCCUGCUAAACACUGAGCAAUGACCCAUGGCAAUGAAGAAUU